UACGGAGAGUGCGAACGUUGUUCGGAUUCACUGGGCGUAAAGGGCACGUAGGCGGCUCGGCAAAUCGGUCGUGGAAUCCCGGCGCUUACCGUCGGAACGGCGGCCGAAAAUACCGAGCUAGAGGGCGUGAGGGGUCACUGGAGCUCCUGGUGAAGCGGUGAAAUGCGUAGAUAUCAGGAGGAACGCCGGAGGCGAAAGCGAGUGACUGGCGCGUUCCUGACGCUGAGGUGCGAAAGCUAGGGGAGCAAACAGG
rnacentral:rRNA from 1 species